UGGGGAAUAUUGCACAAUGGGCGCAAGCCUGAUGCAGCCAUGCCGCGUGUGUGAAGAAGGCCUUCGGGUUGUAAAGCACUUUCAGCGGGGAGGAAGGCGUUAAGGUUAAUAACCUUGGCGAUUGACGUUACCCGCAGAAGAAGCACCGGCUAACUCCGUGCCAGCAGCCGCGGUAAUACGGAGGGUGCAAGCGUUAAUCGGAAUUACUGGGCGUAAAGCGCACGCAGGCGGUCUGUCAAGUCGGAUGUGAAAUCCCCGGGCUCAACCUGGGAACUGCAUGCGAAACUGGCAGGCUAGAGUCGUGUAGAGGGGGGUAGAAUUCCAGGUGUAGCGGUGAAAUGCGUAGAGAUCUGGAGGAAUACCGGUGGCGAAGGCGGCCCCCUGGACAAAGACUGACGCUCAGGUGCGAAAGCGUGGGGAGCAAACAGG
rnacentral:rRNA from 1 species